UAAAUGCUUUUUUUUUACAAUUGUAUACGUAAAGUUCAAUGAUGGAGGCAAACGAACAAUUAGUAAGAGAAGAAAAUACGCUGUUACAACAACAAAAUGCCAUCCUAAAGGCUGAGUUACAAAAAUUUAAAAUGCAACGCGUUGAUAAAACGGACCCACCCCCCACAGAGCCAUUAUUUCCUCAACCUACCUCAGUAUGCACAGUAGCCAUAAAACUUCCUCCUUUCUGGCCUGAUCGGCCUGCAAUUUGGUUUGCUCAGGUAGAGGCACAGUUUUCGAUUUCAGGCAUCUCCGCUGACCUGACUAAAUUUAACUACGUGAUUGCUCAGUUAGAUACCCGAGUUAUUGGGGAGGUAGAGGACAUUAUUCUCCAACCACCACCUGAGGACAAAUAUGGUCGCCUCAAAUCCGAGUUGAUCCGUAGGUUGUCCACGUCUGAGGAGCAACGUGUCCGGCAACUUGUCAGUGAUGUUGAGUUGGGUGACUGCCGUCCUUCGCAGUUUUUACGUCAUCUUAGAUCAUUGGCAGGAAACACCCUCACUGAUGAAAAUUUGUUUCGCCAGCUAUGGAUGCGUCGCCUCCCACAACAUCUCCAAGCAAUUUUGGCCGCCCAAUCAGAACUCUCGCUGGACAAAGUCGCUGAGCUAGCGGACAAAAUUUUGGAAGUUUCGCCUAGUAUGGUCGCACCUCAUUCAUCUGCUGUUUUCUCAGCAAGCACGUCUGCCGUCUCACCCCCUUCGUUAGAAGAUAUCACACGGCGUCUGGAUGAGGUCACGCGUCAGCUUGCUGUGCUUACUGCAGAGCGCGGUAGAAAUAGAACCCGGGAUUUCUCAAACCAGCGACGACGCUCACAAACGCCUGGUAAGCUUCAAAUGUGCUUUUACCAUAGGAAAUUUAAUACUAAAGCUGUUAAGUGUAUUCAACCAUGUACCUGGACGCCGCCGCCACCUUCGGAAAACGACAAAAGCAGUCAAUGAUGGCGACGUCUGACUGCUUAAAGGAGAGUCGCCGAUUAUUUGUCACCGAAAGCGCAACCAAGCGCCGUUUUUUAAUAGACACAGGCUCUGACCUCUCCUGUUACCCAUACCAGUGGUUAGCAAAUAAGCCGGCACGUUCAAACUAUACGUUAGCGGCUGCCAAUGGUAGUGAGAUACGCACUUUUGGUCAUAUAGAAAUGGCGCUUAAUUUGGGGCUACGCCGCACAUUUCAAUGGCGAUUUAUUAUCGCUGACGUCAACACCGCCAUCAUUGGCUCCGAUUUUCUGGCGCACUAUCGGUUGUUGCCAGAUUGUGCCAGCAAGAGACUCGUCGAUAGCAUUACCGGGUUGUCAUGCGUUGCGGCCGUCGCUGUUUUAGACCAGACCAGCGUCAAAGUUGUCUGCGCUCCGUCAUCCCAAUUUAGUGCACUUCUUGCGGAAUUUCCGUCCAUUACGAAGCCACCAGGACUUAUUCGUGAGCCGAAGCAUAACACAGUUCAUUAUAUUCUAACCACUGAGGGCGCCCCAGUCUCUUGUCGUCCUAGACGUCUGGCACCUCAAAAACUUCAAGAGGCCAAAAAGGUUUUUGAUGAUAUGGUACAGUGCGGGACAGCCAGACCUUCGAAAAGUUCGUGGUCUUCUCCACUUCAUAUGGUCCCUAAGCGCGACGGCACCUGGCGACCCUGCGGCGAUUAUCGUGCUUUGAAUUCACGUACCAUACCCGACAGGUACCCAGUUCGCCAUAUCGGUGACGUCGGCCAUAACAUAUCUGGGUGUAGUAUAUUUAGUACAAUUGACCUCGUUAAGGCAUAUCAGCAAAUUCCUGUUGCGCCUGAGGAUAUUUGUAAAACCGCCAUCAUAACACCCUUCGGACUCUAUGAAUUUAAUUACAUGACUUUUGGUCUGCGCAACGCAGGCCAAACGUUUCAAAGAUUUAUAGACGAAGUUGUCCAAGGUCUCGAUUUUUGCUUUGCGUACGUUGACGACAUAUUAGUGUAUUCCCGUGAUGCUCUUCAACAUGCUGCACACCUUCGUACUCUUUUCAAGCGAUUUGAAAACUACGGAAUCGUUAUAAAUCCAGCAAAAUGCGUGUUUGGUGCUCCUGAGGUUACUUUUCUCGGAAACAGAAUAUCUGCCGACGGAACACAACCACCAUCAGAGCGCAUUCAAGCUCUAAAAGAUUUUCCUCUACCACAGACUGUACAAGGACUCCGUCGUUUCAUUGGGAUGGUUAAUUAUUAUCGCCGAUUUCUGCGCAAUGCGGCCAAGUUACAAGCACCGCUAGUCAACGCGAUCGUGGCCGCUGGAGGUAAAGGUCUCACACCGAUCAUUUGGACACCUGAGCUCGAGGAAUGCUUUAAUGCCUGUAAAGAUAGCUUGUCAUCUGCAGCUCUGUUGGCACACCCGUUGCCUAACGCUGAACUAGGGCUUUUCACCGACGCUUCCAGUUCUCACGUUGGUGCCUGCCUUCAGCAGAAAGUCGGUGACGCUUGGCAACCUCUGGGUUUCUUUAGUAAAAAGCUGAAUCCCCGACAGUGCCAGUGGCCAGCAUACUACCGAGAACUUCUUGCGGUAUAUGAGAGUGUGCAACAUUAUCGACACUUCCUAGCCGCACAGCACGUAACAAUUUAUACGGACCAUAAGCCAUUAGUUUACGCGUUCUCGCAACGUCGCGAAAGGCUUCCUCCGGUACAGUUAAAUCAACUGUCUUUUAUUUCGCAGUUUACCACGGACAUUGUCCAUAUAAAAGGGGAAGACAAUACGGUGGCGGACGCCAUGUCCCGCAUCGAAGCUGUUAGUUUUGAAACUGACCAUUCUGCUCUCUCCGCUUGCCAAAAACUUGACGACGAAUUGAAAAAGUAUCGUAACAAUGCGAAUUCUUCUCUAAAACUAGAGAACGUCGUAGUUCCUGGCACAAACACUGUUUUGGUCUGCGACAUGUCAACAGGGCGACCACGCCCAUUUGUAUCGGAACCUAUGCGAAAGAAGAUUUUUGCUCAGCUACAUAAUCUUAGCCAUCCUGGUACUAGAUCAACCAUUCGAUUGAUCUCAGACCGUUUCGUGUGGCCUGGCAUUGCCAAAGAUUGCCGUUAUUGGUGUCAAACCUGCGUUGCUUGCCAGCGAAGUAAGGUGACGCGGCAUAUAAGAUCUCCACUUGGACACUUCUCCAGUCCUACGUCUCGGCUGAAGCAUGUCCAUAUUGACAUCAUAGGCCCUCUUCCAUCUUGUUCUGACUUCCAAUACUGCCUGACUGCUGUGGAUCGCUACACUCGAUGGCCCGAAGUUUGGCCUAUGCACGGAAUAACAGCAGAAGAAGUGGCGAGCACCUUUGUAGCCGGUUGGAUUGCUCGAUUCGGAGUACCUGCUGUCAUCACAACCGACCAGGGACGACAGUUCGAGUCGGACCUUUUCAGACGCCUUACUAAUUUAUGUGGUACUAAACGUAUACGCACUACUAGUUACCACCCUUGUGCCAAUGGGCUCGUGGAGCGCAUGCAUAGACAAUUAAAGGCCUCUCUGAUGUGUUAUGAUGAUUCGUGGUUGAAUGCAUUACCUUUGGUCUUAUUAGGAAUGCGUUCUGCUUUUAAAGAAGAUCUACAAGCAACAGUAGCGGAAUUGCUUUACGGAGAAACAUUAACGCUUCCAGGGGAACUGUUAGUACCACCUGGUCCUUCUGGCUUCGAGGACCCGACCGAUUUUGUCGUAAAGUUAAGACAGCGUAUGUCUAAAUUGCGUCCCACUCCAUGUUCCUCACACACUAAGCCAUCACCUUUCAUAUUCAAAAAUCUUUCCACCGCCAGCCAUGUCAUGCUCAGGGAGGAUUCGGUUAGACGUUCAAUGCAACCACCCUACUCUGGUCCUCAUAGAGUUAUAUCUAGAGCCGAGGACGGAAAAACGUGGUCGAUUGAAGUAAAAGGGAAACAGGUGACGGUCAGUGUCGACAGAAUUAAGCCAGCCUUCGUCGAAAAUUCUUUAGUAGAUCUCGUUCCAGUACCAGCACCGCGGGUUUCUGUGCCUCAACCAGCGCAACCGGAUGCUACUAAUGUCCCUUUAUGUCCACUCGUGCCUUCGGCACCUCUAACUGCUACUCCUACACAUACACCUCAAUAUACCACCCGUUCAGGUCGCAGAGUCCACUUCUCCAAACCUUUCGACCUAUGAUAAUUUUUCUCUUUUUCUGCGGAUUCUCCUUCUCCGUAGGGGGGUGGUGUGGCGUUUUAUUAUGCGUAAGCCGGAACGCACGAGAUGUGGGAAAAAGAAUAUAGUCUGUGACACAAUACCUUUUUACCGCCAAAUAUUUAAAACAUAAAAAAUAAUUUAUAAUGUGUUAAAUAACUAAUAUACCUAAUAUAAUUUAAUGUAAUUACUUUAUGCCGCUACAUCAAUAUAAUUUAUAUUGUUUCAACUGUGGUGUUAAUUACUUAAAACACGACUACGGCGAAAUAAAGAAGGGACUCUAUACGAACUCCCUCACAUGUGUCAAAAAUUGUCCACUGCAUGAAUUCGACUUAAAGGGUUUUUUUUCGUGACAAAAUCGAUAACACGACAAAUUGAUUUCGGAUUUCCAAUCUCUACUCCAACAAAUUUCUCAUUAAUUUUCAUCACAUCUGAUAACCUCCAAGAUUCAAAAGUAAAAUUGAAAACAAUACAUUGAUAAUAAAGAUAUCAGUAGAUACAUUAAUAAGAUACUUUUAGAUAGAUAUAAUCAUGGUUAAAUCGGAAGAUCCAUCUAUAGUUGUUGGGGAUGCGGCGGCCAGUAAGAAGGCAGCCAAAAAAGCUGCCAAAACCGCUGAGAAACAACAAAAGAAAGCCGAGCAUAAGG